rnacentral:tRNA from 1 species
UGGCUCAGUUGGUAGAGCAUGGUGUUUGCAACGCCAGCGUUGUGGGCUCGAUUCCCAC